UACGUAGGUCCCGAGCGUUGUCCGGAUUUAUUGGGCGUAAAGCGAGCGCAGGUGGUUUAUUAAGUCUGGUGUAAAAGGCAGUGGCUCAACCAUUGUAUGUAUUGGAAACUGGUAGACUUGAGUGCAGGAGAGGAGAGUGGAAUUCCAUGUGUAGCGGUGAAAUGCGUAGAUAUAUGGAGGAACACCGGUGGCGAAAGCGGCUCUCUGGCCUGUAACUGACACUGAGGCUCGAAAACGUGGGGAGCAAACAGG
rnacentral:rRNA from 1 species